UUGCCCCCACCAACGCAACCCGACCGAUCGAUCUCCAACUUUGACGGAGCCAAAAAAAAAAAGGCGCAGAGGCCAACCGCCGCCCACGAAUCGCCGGCGCGCCGCGGUACGACUUUGGUUCUGUUCAAGAUGAAAAUCCACGUCAAGAGGAUGAUGACCCCGCCCACCUGUACGCUCGAUGUUGAGAGCUCCGACACCAUAGGCAGUGUGAAGGCACAGAUACGGGAUGUUCCAUUGCACAUGCAGCUCCUCAUCUUCGCCAAUCAACUGCUGCAGGAUGACGGCACCCUCGCCGACUAUAACAUCCAAGACGGGGACUCCAUCCACUUCGUUAUCGACUUAAAGUAGUUUUUCAGUAUUUCAUGUUAAUUUGGUCGCUUCGACUUGUCCAGCCCAACGCAAUUACUUGUCCUUUACUUUUUUCAGAGAGAGGAAGAGUUAAUUUGAUCUCGAGUAAUCGUUCAUGUAGUAUCUUGUAUGCUUUGAGCUCGAUCUUGCUAUGCAUAAUUAAUUGCUUACAUGCCGUA